AGAGUUUGAUCAUGGCUCAGAACGAACGCUGGCGGCGUGCUUAACACAUGCAAGUCGCGUGCGCAGUUUCCGUAGCAAUACGGGGAUGGGCGCACGGCGCACGGGUGCGUAACACGUGGGCAAUCUGCCCUCCGAUGGGGAAUACCCCCGCGAAAGCGGGACUAAUUCCGCAUAACAUUCCUUGGAUUAACUUUCGAGGAUUCAAAGCAGCAAUGCGUCGGAGGAGGAGCCCGCGCCCGAUUAGCUAGUUGGUGAGGUAACGGCUCACCAAGGCAAUGAUCGGUAGCUGGUCUGAGGGGAUGGCCAGCCACACUGGAACUGAGACACGGUCCAGACUCCUACGGGAGGCAGCAGUGGGGAAUCUUGCACAAUGGGCGAAAGCCUGAUGCAGCGACGCCGCGUGGGGGAUGAAGCUUUUCGGAGUGUAAACCCCUUUCGACUGGGACGAAUGCCUCGCAAGAGGAGUGACGGUACCAGUAUAAGAAGCCCCGGCUAACUACGUGCCAGCAGCCGCGGUAAGACGUAGGGGGCCAGCGUUGUUCGGAAUUACUGGGUGUAAAGGGUUCGUAGGCGGUGUGGCAAGUCGGGAGUGAAAUCUCUGGGCUCAACCCAGAGACUGCUUCCGAAACUGCUGUGCUUGAGUGUGAGAGAGGCUCGUGGAAUUGCAGGUGUAGCGGUGAAAUGCGUAGAUAUCUGCAGGAACACCCGUGGCGAAAGCGGCGAGCUGGAUCACUACUGACGCUGAGGAACGAAAGCUAGGGGAGCAAACAGGAUUAGAUACCCUAGUAGUCC
rnacentral:rRNA from 1 species